GGGAAAGUGGCUCAGUGGGAGAGUGCUUGCCUUGCAUGCAUGAGGCCCUGGGUUCGAUUCCUCAGCACCA
rnacentral:tRNA from 1 species